rnacentral:rRNA from 1 species
AUUGAAUGUUGGCGGAAGGAAGAACACAGGCAAGUCGAACGGUAACAGGAAACAGCUUGCUGUUUCGCUGACGAGUGGCGGACGGGUGAGGAAUGUCUGGGAAACUGCCUGAUGGAGGGGGAUAACUACUGGAAACGGUAGCUAAUACCGCAUAACGUCGCAAGACCAAAGAGGGGGACCCUCGGGCCUCUUGCCAUCGGAUGUGCCCAGAUGGGAUUAGCUUGUUGGUGGGGUAACGGCUCACCAAGGCGACGAUCCCUAGCUGGUCUGAGAGGAUGACCAGCCACACUGGAACUGAGACACGGUCCAGACUCCUACGGGAGGCAGCAGUGGGGAAUAUUGCACAAUGGGCGCAAGCCUGAUGCAGCCAUGCCGCGUGUAUGAAGAAGGCCUUCGGGUUGUAAAGUACUUUCAGCGGGGAGGAAGUGAGUAAAGUUAAUACCUUUGCUCAUUGACGUUACCCGCAGAAGAAGCACCGGCUAACUCCGUG